AGGCGGCUAUGGCGCCGGGGUUCCACCUCUUCCCUUCCCGAACAGAGAAGUUAAACCCGGCCACGCCAAUGGUACUGCACAGCGUGUGGGAGAGUAGGUCGCUGCCGU
rnacentral:rRNA from 1 species